UACGAAGGGGGCUAGCGUUGUUCGGAAUCACUGGGCGUAAAGCGCACGUAGGCGGCUCUUUAAGUCGGGGGUGAAAUCCUGGAGCUCAACUCCAGAACUGCCUUCGAUACUGGAAGACUCGAGUCCGGGAGAGGUGAGUGGAACUGCGAGUGUAGAGGUGAAAUUCGUAGAUAUUCGCAAGAACACCAGUGGCGAAGGCGGCUCACUGGCCCGGUACUGACGCUGAGGUGCGAAAGCGUGGGGAGCAAACAGG
rnacentral:rRNA from 1 species